rnacentral:lncRNA from 1 species
CCAGGGUUGUGACCAUAAUGUGGUGGCUUCUCUCCCUUAGGUGGUUUGCCAACUGGGGUUGGUGGCUUGUUUUCUGGGAGUGGCUUCUCUCCCUUGGGUGGUUUGCCAACUGGGGUUGGUGGCUUGUGUUCUGGGAGUGGCUUCUCCCCCUUGGGAGGUUUUUCGAAUGGGGUGGGUUUGUGUCCUGGUGGUGGCUUCUCUCCCUUGGGAGGUUUACCAAUUGGGGUCGGUGGCUUGUGUUCUGGGAGGGGCUUCUCUCCCUGGGGAGGUUUAGUGGGUGGCUUGUGUUCUGGAGGUGGCUUCUCCACCGGAGGCUUAUGCUCUGGUGGUGGCUUCUCGAAGGGGGGAUGCUCAGGGUAAUCACCAAGUGAGGGGGUGGUGAGAACCACCAUGCCAAGCAACAACACUAGCAAGUAUGUAGUAGACAUCUUUGGGUUUGGACUCAGACAGUGCAAAACUACGAGAAAUCGCUAGCCCUUUAUAGCGGCUCGGACCUAAUACUGACAUAAUAUAAAAUAAAUAUUAUAUUUUAUCAAGAGAGAACAGAGUGUAAUUUUAUCAUUAAUACCGAUCGAGGCCAAAGAAAGAAGACCCAUAAUCCAUUUCCCACAAGCAUACACAAUGCAGCUGUAAUUUUAUCAUUUACUUUUAUCCCUUGGACCACUGCAUUUUUGUUGAGAGACACAAUAACACAUUUUUAUCUGUCAUUCAACAUUUACAGUAAAGAGAGGGCACAAAACGCAAUUAGAUAAAUUAUGUUUUGCCUGCUAAAAAGAGGCAAAUAACUUUAUUUGCAACAUAAUUAUUUUGGUUUCUAGUGACCCCGGGGCCUUUCGGUUGGUUUGGGAUCGGAAAAUGAACAUCAUAGGGGGGGUUGUGCCCUUAUGGGCAUAUAUAUCUGAUAGCUUCAACUGGCCUUGUUCCUAGAAAGAAAUUGCCAAAGAUAUAAACUUAUUCCAGGCUGAAAGUAGAUGAGAGUCAUAAUGAACAUCAACCUUUGUUCAGUUUGAUUCAAUGCCCCCAUAGUGUUCAUUUCACAGAUCUGAAUGAUUAUAUCCGUUGAAUACAUAAAUUAAUGAAGACAAAUAUGAAACCCAAGAUACAUCUCUGCAUAACAACCCCAACCCUGGUUGCUAUGUUUCCCUUCUUCUAUUCACAUGAGGAUACUGGUUAUAAUUGUCAAACUUGCAACAAGCCCUUUGACACCUAACGUCAAUGGACGAAUUAAAAGUCUCCUUCAAACGUCUAUUUCACAGCAUGAAGCUUAUAAAGGAUGCUGACAACCUUCAGAGUUAGCGACAAAAGAUAAUUAUCAAGGAGAGAUAGUUCCAUGAGAAUUCCAAGGAGUCUGAAUCAAAGACAAAUUGCUCACUCAAGGGUUCUUAUUUUCUUUUAGGUACAAAUCUCUUGAGUGUUGUUAAAGAAACACGUCACUGUCAUUUUGAUUUGCAUUUAACAUUUCACUUUUGUUCUGGAAGGUUUGUUCCGGAAACAUAUCAAAUGAGCAUCAUUUUCUUCUUCGGUGACACAUGGUCGCGAGUACGUGGGUCCAUUUUCAUGCCACUUAGUUGAAAAGUUGGAAAGAAAAAACAUGCCAACAAGAAGAUAGUGAGAGAAGGGGCACUUCAAGCCUUUAACAUGAACAAACAGUAAAUAAAAGAUGUUUCUCCACUCAUAAAAGUGUGUUAGAUAGCAAUAUAACGAAUCACAUCCAAAAUCUUUACUAGGCUCAAACAUAAAGAAGACUCAUUUUUAAGAAAAGAUAAAAAUGGCAUUGUCUGAUAGUAUCCAAUACACGAGAUGGCACUUAAUUUGUACAAGAUCUGUCAAUGCUGACGCACAUUUUCUGAUUAAAAAAAAACUGAUCAGUCAAAAGCAAUGAAGAGAAGUGAUGACAAUGAAUGAUGCUUCCAAUAUUUUCACCCCUUAUAGUGUUCUUCAUGAUUCAGAUAUAUAAUUGGAAAUAGAACAACCCUAUGCCAUACAUUCGUCUAAGUAUGGUGUCUAAUUUUUUGUGUCAGCGGUUGCGAAUGGAGCGUGCAAAAGUCCAAAUUGGCGUCUCUCCAUUUCCACAUAGGAAGGUGACCUUUAUUGACAAAUACCCAAUAUUUGUAGACAUUCCUUAAAUAUCAUAACUUCUUGUUGAUUUGAAAAUCAUUUUUCAACUACCAUGUUUUAAUAAAUAUUUUUUAAAAUGUAUUUUUAUCAAAGUCCACCAUGAUGGAUAAUAUUCACCAUGCAAUAAUUAAUAAAGUACAAACUAAGCGAAAUGAAAAGCAUUUUCUUUGCUUUGAGUUGAUUUUGGUUGCAUUGAGUUGAUUUUGGUUUCAUGGUUUUUUCAACUCUUAUUUUGAUUGGAAGAUGUCAAGAAAAGAAAACAUAAAGAAAAAUUAAAAGGGAAAAAAGAAGAAAAAUAAAAAAAAAUAGAUUUAAAAGUUAAUAAAUUAUUUUUUAUAUUUAUUUUAAUUCAUUUCACUUAUUUUUCUUUUACUAUAUAAAAUUUAAAUAAUUUAAAUUUUAUAAUUAAUUUAAUUACAUUUCAUUUUCUUCUAUAUUUAAAUAUUGGAAAAAUAUUUUACUUAAUAUUUUUUUCUUUAAUUUCUUUGGCAUUUUGGGAACCAAACUUAGCCUUUAAAAUAAAAAACAAAAAAAAAAUGAAAAUAAGGAGGGAAAAGUGAGAAAAGAUAAAAACAAUAUGUAAAGGAUUUGAAAAGUAUUAGUUUGUAAUUACUAUUUGGAUUUCAAUAGUAUUUUAUUUGUCUUUCUAUAUUUCAUGUAAGAGAGAAUUUAAGAUAUUCCCCAAGGCAAAGCAUUAGUUACCUGCAAUCAGUGGUGAUAAGGCUCCAAGCCAAUUUUGGGCCCCAUAUCUUAAGACAGUACAAUUUCCAUUUCAACAUUUCUGAUUUCUCAGAUGUUUCACAUACCACAGAAGAACAUUGUUUGUGAAAAUAUGCAUUUAUGUUGGAUUUUGUAUGCUGUGGGGACUGGGGCAAGGAUCAUAUGGAAGAGUGGUUGACUUUUUCUGUACUUUAACGGUUGAAAUAGGAUAAGCACGGGCAUUUGUGAGGCUUAAUUGAUUUUGAAGCCUGAAAUUGCGUUUCUGUCAUUUUGUCAAAAAAAUGGCAGAUUCCAUACUCAUAUGUUUGGCCUGUGGCCAUGUACAGAUGCCAUUUAGUGACCAGUUUGUAACUGUCAAUCGUUGCGUUUUGACUCUGCCUCAACAACAUCUGCCAUUGACGGGUUUUCAUACUUGCAAAUCAAAUAGUCUUUCGUCCCAUCAGGAAUUUCGGUUUAAAUAUUAUUAAGCAUACGUUUGGCUGACAAUCAUUAUCCAGUUCAUGAUUUGGUUUCUUACCCUUAAUCAAUGGUUUCUAAGUGAAUAUAUGUAGAAGGAAAUCCGAAGUGUAGACAGUAGUAUCGAUAACUCUCAAUAUUCUCUAUAUAAUAGAAUAAACAGCGUCAUAGUGAUCGUCGCCUACAAGCAAGGUACAAAUACCAAAACGAGUGACUCACAUAGACAUCUCCCAACAAGAUGUAGUAGUGACUGACACAUGGACACAAUUAACUCGUAGAAAAGGAUAAGACCAUUGCACAGCAGCUCUUAUUUUACAUACUACUUAUGCUAACCAAAGUCAAUUAGUUGGGAUGGGUGGGAGAUGGAGGUUUGUGCGGUGGCUUGUGGGGCGGAGUUGAUGGCUUCUUUCCAGGAGCUUCUGGCUUUUUCAUCGGAGCUGAAGGAGGCUCAAUCUUAUGAGGCGGCUUGUAUGAGUCUUCUUUACUCUCGACAGGAGGGUGGCCAGGGUUGUGAUCAUAAUGUGGUGGCUUCUCUCCCUUAGGUGGCUUGCCAACUGGGGUUGGUGGCUUGUGUUCAGGAAGUGGUUUCUCUCCCAUGGGAGGUUUAGCAAUUGGGGUUGGUGGCUUGUGUUCUGGGAGUGGCUUCUCUCCCUUGGGAGGUUUAGUAGGUGACUUGUGUUCUGGAGGUGGCUUCUCCACCGGAGGCUUGUGCUCCGGUGGUGGCUUCUUGGUUGGAGGGGGCUUGGGGUAAUCAGCAAGAGAUGGGGUGGUGAGAACCACCAGUCCAAGGAACAACACUAGCAAGUAUGUGGGAGACAUUUUUGAGUUUGGGCUGAUCAGAUGAUGCAAAACUAAAGCAUUACGUGACCUUUUAUAGCAUGUAGCUCCCAAUACCCACUAAGUAUUGUGGGGUCCAUUUGUGCCCUACGGGGUUGAAAACUUAGACAAUUGGGCAAGGACCCACCUGACUAUGGAGGACUAGUGAGGUGUGAUCAUAGCUUUAGGAUUUUUCUUCCUCUGCAGCCGUCGUGCCGUUGGCAUGAUUUUCUUAAUCUUAAAUAAAGGCAUAGUUAUAGAGUUGUUUAAUCUCUAAAUGGGAUUUUAUAUAUAUCUUCAGAUAGCCAUUAAUAUAUUUGAUGAAGAAAGAAAGACAAGUGCAUACAACAUGUAUACGACUAGCUUUCAUGGAGUUCAUUUAUGAUCAGUUUUCCUGUACAUGUAAACCAGGAUCAUAUAUAUGUUUCUGUUCCACAACUAUUUUGGAAUCUUGUUUAUCAGUUUUUAUCAUUAUAAUGUCACAUAGGCUGCCAACUUGGGCGCUAAAAGAACCAGUUGGGCUAGUUCGUUUCAGAAUUUCAAUGUGGAUUCAGGAAUUGUUUUGUAAGAUAUGCGAAAUAGUAGAGGGAUGAAUAGUGUUUCAUUAAUAAAAGUGUCCUGUAAAUUAGAAGGUGUCAUAGAAACUAUAAUCAAUAAAUAACUUUUUUUCCCCACGGGUGGUGUUUCUUGUGGGGAUCAGUGACUGGUUUAGGUUCACCCAAAAUGAGUUCAGACUAAAAUUGGUUUGAGUCAAUGCCGUGUCUCUUUUUUCCAGAAAUCAACUAUUUUAUGCAUUGAAUAAAUCAUACAAAGAAAAUAUGAACGCCCGCAAAACCUAAACCCUGGUUGCUAACUUUCUAUGUUUCAGUUCUAUUCACGCAAGAAUAUUAGUUUAAGUUUGGGAAAAAUGGCAACUUACCUAGUGAUUACUUGGUUUUGGUUUGCGACUAUUUACGCAACCAACCAUGAGUUUGACUUUAACGUCAUGGGUUGAAGCCUCCUACAGGAAGGGAGAAAGCUCCACAGCUAGCUCCAAAAGAGAAUUAUCACAUUGAUAGCUCCAGAGAUUCCCAAGGGGACUGAAUCAAAGACAAGUUCCUCACUUUUUCUUCUUUUGAGGCCAAAUAUGAACCAAGGAUCACACAACCUCAUUCAACUUCAUAAGUUUGAUUUCAUGCAGUUGAACACUGGGUGAAGGCCAUGACAAGAAUUGAUUCAAAAAUUCUAUCACUCUUUUAAGUAAUGGAAGAUUAUUAUCUCUGAUUGGCAUCACAACAGCACAUGCUCCUAGAUCUUUCUAGACACUCCAUGCAAUGAAAGCACAAUGGAUCUUGUAACGAUAGAAACUAAGCCAUGCUACAGUACUAGAUGAUGAGGUAAAACUAGUAGACACGGGUGGCAGCCUAUAUGGGAGGGACACAAGUCUAAUUGAUUUGCAUUUCAGCAUUAUAGAUAGGUAUGUUUUGGAAGAUUUGUUCUGGAAAUACCGCACCAAGUAGGAUUCUUUUUCUCUUUAGUGGGUCCACUUGCAUGCCAAUUAACGAGUUGAAAAGUAUGAGCACCUACCUCGUGCUCGUGGAACCGAAGGUCAGUGAAGUGGGGCUCCUUUUGGCCUCGUGUAAACUUGAUUCAGAAGUGAAGUUAAUAGUCUUCCAUUCAGAUGGAUACAUGGGAAUUUUUCUCUUUUAUUUAUUUAUUUAUUUUUUUUUUGUGUGUGUAUGUCAAAGGAUAAUGAAUGAAGCGCGUUAGCUUGUUUUCUGACUGGAACCGCAGAUGUCCAAAUUGGAGUUCCUUCAUUUCUUACUUAGGAUUGUUACAUGUAUAAACAAGGUAUAAGAAAUAUGCCAACGUGUCUUGAGGAGUUAUUGAUUAGAAAUAACAAGUCACCCGACUGUAGAGUUCCAAGAUUUGAAUCUUCAGACCCUAUAGCAGCCUCUGGGGUACGUGGCAUCCUAUAGCAUAUUAAUGAAGGCUUUUUCGAUUUAGACUUCACAAUACCAAUUAAUAUGUAUGCACAAAAUGGAGAUGACCCCAAAAAAAACAGAAUCGCCAUAGUUUAUGAGGUUAAGGUGAUUCUCCACUUAAUAUCUACAUUAGCUAAUUAUGUAAAUCAAAUGAACUUCUAUUUUUCCUUUUUUUUUUUGGUUUAUGUCAAAUAGUAGCCCAUAAUUAACCCAACCAUUAGCCUGUUUGAAUUGAUUUCACAUGCACAAUGUUGUAGUAGUUCAUAUUUUGAAUUUUAUUUUUACAAAGGUAGUUAAGGAAAAUGAAGUAUAAUAAUUAUAAAAGCAGACUAUAUACACUACAAUAAUUGUUAGAAUGGUAUCUCAAAUUCUAAUUUAAAAUAUUAUUUUUUGUAAAAGAAAUAUUAUAUAGAAUAUUUCCUAAUUUUAUAAAUGAUUAUAAUUAGAUCUUUAUAAAAUAAGGAAAGUUGGUAAGAAUAUCUUUAUAAAUAUUUUAGGUCAUGAGAGAAAGAAAUGGGAUAAAAAUGUGAUGAAGAGGUGAAAUAAGAGAGUUGAUUAGGAUAUAGAUGUGAAGAAGAAAGGGAUUCAAUAUAUAUAUAUCUUUCAAUUACCACAUUAAAACCCUGUGAACCUUUUAUAUGGUUUACUUUAUUUUUAUAUUCCUCCUUUAAUAUAUUUACAUUAAUGCUUCCAUUGGCACAACAAUAACGAAUUACAAAUACAAGCAACAAGUCCCAUGUUUUAUUACCAAAAGCAGGUAAAAUCCACCUAAUAUAUUACAAUAUAUUCAUCCAAUAUUUUAGACCAAUUCUUCACCAUAAAUAUCAUAAUGUGGCUUUUGUUCUUUCUUAAAUUUAAAUUGAAUUGUCUUAUAUCAAUUUGUUUGUGAUUUUUUCAUUAACUUCACUUUCAUUUGGUUAUCUUUGGUUUUUGAAAAGUAUUAAGGAAUUAAUUAACAAAAUAAUGUUAAGAAAAAUAAUUUUCUCUCUUUUGAUUUUGAUUUUGUAGUAGAAAAAUAUAAUUAAAAUUAUUUAAAAAGUAUGUAAUUUUAAAUUAUUUAAUAUUUAGAUAAAAAAAAUAAGUCUAAUGAGUUUAAAAUAACAUAUAAAAAUAAUUUAUUUAUUUUAAAUUUAUUUUUUAUUUUCCAUUAUGUUCUCUUUCUCUUUUACUUUUUCAUAUUUUUUCUUACGAAGAAUCAAACACAACCUCAUAUUAUAUGUCAAGUGUUUGUCUAUAUUUGAGCAAUGUUAGAUACGGCCAUGGAUUCAUCAAACUAAACUGAUUUUAAUAGAUACUUCACAAAUUGAUUUAUACACUAAAUCAUUGGAUAGCAAUGAUGCAUUGGAAUUAAACGUAGGAUGAAGCUCGAAGAACACUGUUUGUGUAACAACAUAUUUAUGAAAUUAUGCAAAGGAUGAGCUUCGGGGUAGUAGUACAAGGUCAUUAAUGGAGAGCCGUGUUAAACCUUGAUUGUGAUUGGAUUCCGUUAUCAGCAACAGCAACCUUGUUUGUAACCUUGAAAGUCAUUCUGUCCACAUCGAAACUCCAAUUUGACGUUUGUAAUUACCAUUCCUGGAGUGUUCCUUGAUUGAAAUUUAAAUAAUAAUUGCGGCCCACAAGGAAUAUUUUCGAUUCUGUGGGAAUUUGACAAGGUUUGUUAGAGAAGACUGGUGACAUGUUGACUUCAAUGGUUCAAAUAGGAGACGUAUGUGGAUUUGGGGGGUUUAAUUGAAACUGAGUCCCUAUGGCUUUUUAAUAUUUGCAUUGAGCAGUCUCCAUGUGACUUCCUAAUUCCCACCAACCCUCCUGUCCAUGCUGUGAAACUAAAUUGUAAUUUAUCAGCCUUUGUCAAUGGUUUCUAAAUUAAAGAUAUAGACCAUGCAUGUACUUUAAUAAAAGCAAAUCUAAAGUGUAGAUAGCAGCAAUGGUGACACCCAAUAUUCUCCAUAAAAUAGAAUUAGAAUAAGCAGUGUUACAUUGUUCAUGAUCACCUACAAGCAUACAAGAACUUCCAUGAAUAACUCAUAGCAAUUGCCAACAGGGCGUCGUAGAGACUCAUACAUAGAACACUAUCCACCCAGAGGAAAGGACAAGACCAGUGCGCUGCAGCUCUUAUUUUUCACAUGUAUACCACCACUCGUAAUAACCAAAUUCACUCAGUUGGGAUAGGUGGGAGAUGGUGGUUUGUGGGGUGGCUUGUGGGGAGGAGUUGGAGGAGGCUUUAUUUUCUGAGGCGGCUUGUAUGAGUGUGCAGGAGGAUGCCCGGGAGUGUGACCAUAAUGUGGUGGCUUCUCUCCCGUAGGUGGUUUGCCAAAUGGGCUUGGUGGCUUCUCUCCCUUAGGAGGUUUACCAAUUGGGGUUGGUGGCUUGUGUUCUGGGAGUGGUUUCUCUCCCUUGGUAGGUUUGCCAAUUGGGGUUGGCGGCUUAUGUUCUGGGAGUGGCUUCUCUCCCUUGGGAGGUUUGCUAAUUGGGGUUGGCGGCUUAUGUUCUGGGGGCGGCUUCUCUCCCUUGGGAGGUUUGCCAAUUGGAGUUGGCGGCUUAUGUUCUGGGAGUGGCUUUUCUCCCUUGGGAGGCUUGCCAAUUGGGGUUGGCGGCUUAUGUUCUGGGGGUGGCUUCUCUCCUUUAGGAGGUUUGCCAAUUGGAGUCGGCGGCUUAUGUUCUGGAAGUGGCUUUUUUCCCUUGGGAGGUUUGCCAAUUGGGGUUGGCGGCUUAUGUUCUGGGGGUGGCUUCUCUCCCUUGGGAGGUUUGCCAAUUGGAGUCGGCGGCUUAUGUUCUGGGAGUGGCUUCUCUCCCUUGGGAGGUUUUGUUGGUGGCUUGUGUUCUGGAGAUGGCUUCUCCCCUGGAGGCUUGUGCUCCGGAG